rnacentral:rRNA from 1 species
UUAAGGGCGCACGGUGGAUGCCUUGGCACUAGAAGCCGAUGAAGGACGUUACUAACGACGAUAUGCUUUGGGGAGCUGUAAGUAAGCUUUGAUCCAGAGAUUUCCGAAUGGGGAAACCCAGCAUGAGUUAUGUCAUGUUAUCGAUAUGUGAAUACAUAGCAUAUCAGAAGGCACACCCGGAGAACUGAAACAUCUUAGUACCCGGAGGAAGAGAAAGAAAAUUCGAUUCCCUUAGUAGCGGCGAGCGAAACGGGAAGAGCCCAAACCAACAAGCUUGCUUGUUGGGGUUGUAGGACACUCUAUACGGAGUUACAAAGGACGACAUUAGACGAAUCAUCUGGAAAGAUGAAUCAAAGAAGGUAAUAAUCCUGUAGUCGAAAAUGUUGUCUCUCUUGAGUGGAUCCUGAGUACGACGGAGCACGUGAAAUUCCGUCGGAAUCUGGGAGGACCAUCUCCUAAGGCUAAAUACUCUCUAGUGACCGAUAGUGAACCAGUACCGUGAGGGAAAGGUGAAAAGCACCCCGGAAGGGGAGUGAAAUAGAACCUGAAACCGUGUGCUUACAAGUAGUCAGAGCCCGUUAAUGGGUGAUGGCGUGCCUUUUGUAGAAUGAACCGGCGAGUUACGAUUUGAUGCAAGGUUAAGCAGUAAAUGUGGAGCCGUAGCGAAAGCGAGUCUGAAUAGGGCGUUUAGUAUUUGGUCGUAGACCCGAAACCAGGUGAUCUACCCUUGGUCAGGUUGAAGUUCAGGUAACACUGAAUGGAGGACCGAACCGACUUACGUUGAAAAGUGAGCGGAUGAACUGAGGGUAGCGGAGAAAUUCCAAUCGAACCUGGAGAUAGCUGGUUCUCUCCGAAAUAGCUUUAGGGCUAGCCUCAAGUGAUGAUUAUUGGAGGUAGAGCACUGUUUGGACGAGGGGCCCCUCUCGGGUUACCGAAUUCAGACAAACUCCGAAUGCCAAUUAAUUUAACUUGGGAGUCAGAACAUGGGUGAUAAGGUCCGUGUUCGAAAGGGAAACAGCCCAGACCACCAGCUAAGGUCCCAAAAUAUAUGUUAAGUGGAAAAGGAUGUGGCGUUGCCCAGACAACUAGGAUGUUGGCUUAGAAGCAGCCAUCAUUUAAAGAGUGCGUAAUAGCUCACUAGUCGAGUGACACUGCGCCGAAAAUGUACCGGGGCUAAACAUAUUACCGAAGCUGUGGAUUGUCCUUUGGACAAUGGUAGGAGAGCGUUCUAAGGGCGUUGAAGCAUGAUCGUAAGGACAUGUGGAGCGCUUAGAAGUGAGAAUGCCGGUGUGAGUAGCGAAAGACGGGUGAGAAUCCCGUCCACCGAUUGACUAAGGUUUCCAGAGGAAGGCUCGUCCGCUCUGGGUUAGUCGGGUCCUAAGCUGAGGCCGACAGGCGUAGGCGAUGGAUAACAGGUUGAUAUUCCUGUACCACCUAUAAUCGUUUUAAUCGAUGGGGGGACGCAGUAGGAUAGGCGAAGCGUGCGAUUGGAUUGCACGUCUAAGCAGUAAGGCUGAGUAUUAGGCAAAUCCGGUACUCGUUAAGGCUGAGCUGUGAUGGAGAGAAGACAUUGUGUCUUCGAGUCGUUGAUUUCACACUGCCGAGAAAAGCCUCUAGAUAGAAAAUAGGUGCCCGUACCGCAAACCGACACAGGUAGUCAAGAUGAGAAUUCUAAGGUGAGCGAGCGAACUCUCGUUAAGGAACUCGGCAAAAUGACCCCGUAACUUCGGGAGAAGGGGUGCUCUUUAGGGUUAACGCCCAGAAGAGCCGCAGUGAAUAGGCCCAAGCGACUGUUUAUCAAAAACACAGGUCUCUGCUAAACCGUAAGGUGAUGUAUAGGGGCUGACGCCUGCCCGGUGCUGGAAGGUUAAGAGGAGUGGUUAGCUUCUGCGAAGCUACGAAUCGAAGCCCCAGUAAACGGCGGCCGUAACUAUAACGGUCCUAAGGUAGCGAAAUUCCUUGUCGGGUAAGUUCCGACCCGCACGAAAGGCGUAACGAUUUGGGCACUGUCUCAACGAGAGACUCGGUGAAAUCAUAGUACCUGUGAAGAUGCAGGUUACCCGCGACAGGACGGAAAGACCCCGUGGAGCUUUACUGUAGCCUGAUAUUGAAAUUCGGCACAGCUUGUACAGGAUAGGUAGGAGCCUUUGAAACGUGAGCGCUAGCUUACGUGGAGGCGCUGGUGGGAUACUACCCUAGCUGUGUUGGCUUUCUAACCCGCACCACUUAUCGUGGUGGGAGACAGUGUCAGGCGGGCAGUUUGACUGGGGCGGUCGCCUCCUAAAAGGUAACGGAGGCGCUCAAAGGUUCCCUCAGAAUGGUUGGAAAUCAUUCAUAGAGUGUAAAGGCAUAAGGGAGCUUGACUGCGAGACCUACAAGUCGAGCAGGGUCGAAAGACGGACUUAGUGAUCCGGUGGUUCCGCAUGGAAGGGCCAUCGCUCAACGGAUAAAAGCUACCCCGGGGAUAACAGGCUUAUCUCCCCCAAGAGUUCACAUCGACGGGGAGGUUUGGCACCUCGAUGUCGGCUCAUCGCAUCCUGGGGCUGUAGUCGGUCCCAAGGGUUGGGCUGUUCGCCCAUUAAAGCGGUACGCGAGCUGGGUUCAGAACGUCGUGAGACAGUUCGGUCCCUAUCCGUCGUGGGCGUAGGAAAUUUGAGAGGAGCUGUCCUUAGUACGAGAGGACCGGGAUGGACAUACCUCUGGUGUACCAGUUGUCGUGCCAACGGCAUAGCUGGGUAGCUAUGUGUGGACGGGAUAAGUGCUGAAAGCAUCUAAGCAUGAAGCCCCCCCUCAAGAUGAGAUUUCCCAACUUCGGUUAUAAGAUCCCUCAAAGAUGAUGAGGUUAAUAGGUUCGAGGUGGAAGCAUGGUGACAUGUGGAGCUGACGAAUACUAAUCGAUCGAAGACUUAAUC